GGAUGUGAGGGCGAUCUGGCUGCGACAUCUGUCACCCCAUUGAUCGCCAGGGUUGAUUCGGCUGAUCUGGCUGGCUAGGCGGGUGUCCCCCUCCUCCCUCACCGAUCCAUGUGCGUCCCUCCCGAAUCUGCGUGCUCAGUCGAAGAGGACGACCUUCCCCCCCGAGGAGAGGACCGGUCUUAGGUCAAGGGUAUACGAGUAGCUGCGCUCCCCUGCUAGAACCUCCAAACAAGCUCUCAAGAAACAGGUCACAAAUGACAGAAAUGGAGGAAAGCAAACUGCUGGAUAUAGAGUUCAAAACCAUGGUUAUAAAGUUUUUCAAGAAUUU
ensembl:misc_RNA 7SK 7SK RNA